UACGUAGGGUGCGAGCGUUGUCCGGAAUUAUUGGGCGUAAAGAGCUCGUAGGCGGUCUGUCGCGUCGGUCGUGAAAACUUGGGGCUUAACCCUGAGCUUGCGGUCGAUACGGGCAGACUAGAGUUCGGUAGGGGAGACUGGAAUUCCUGGUGUAGCGGUGAAAUGCGCAGAUAUCAGGAGGAACACCGGUGGCGAAGGCGACUUCCUGGCCUGUUCUUGACGCUGAGGCGCGAAAGCUAGGGUAGCAAACGGG
rnacentral:rRNA from 1 species